GGUAUGAUCUCGGCUCACUGCAACAUCUGCCUCCCAGGUUCAAGCAAUUCUCCUAGCUCAGCCUCCUGAGUAGCUGUGAUUACAGGCACCCACCACCACGCCCGCCUAAUUUUUGUAUUUUUAGUAGAGUUAGGGUUUCACCAUGUUGGCCAGGCGGGUCUCAAACUCCUGACCUCAGGUGAUCCUCCCGCUUUAGCCUCCCAAAGUGCUGAGAUUACAGGCGUGAACCACCUCGCCCCACCAGGAAUCUUUUUUAAGAAGGCUAUCUACUUAUGGAAUUCCUUGCAAAGGAAAGGAUUCAUUUUGUGAUUAAAAACUCAAGCUGUAAAAGCCAAAGGUCCACCCCUUUUUUCCAGUCUCAAGCUGAAGAUCUUUAUGUAGAAGGCCUUCCCCACAGGAAUUUUUUUUUUUUUUUUUUUUUUGUGACAGAGUUUUUACUCUUGUCGCCUAGGCUGGAGUGCAAUGGCAUGAUCUAGG
rnacentral:lncRNA from 1 species